AGCCAGCAUGGCAUAAUGGUUUGAGUAUUGGACUACAAAUCUGGAGACCAGGGUUCAAUUCCCAGCUCGGCUA
rnacentral:tRNA from 1 species